UACGUAGGGACCGAGCGUUGUCCGGAAUCAUUGGGCGUAAAGAGCGUGUAGGCGGCUAUUUAAGUCCUGCGUGAAAUCCUGCGGCUCAACCGCAGACGGUCGUGGGAAACUGGAUGGCUAGAGUGCGGAAGAGGCGAGUGGAAUUCCCGGUGUAGUGGUGAAAUGCGUAGAUAUCGGGAGGAACACCAGUGGCGAAGGCGACUACCUGGCCUGUUCUUGACGCUGAGGCGCGAAAGCUAGGGGAGCAACGGGG
rnacentral:rRNA from 1 species